rnacentral:rRNA from 1 species
GACGAACGCUGGCGGCGUGCUUAACACAUGCCAGUCGAACGGAAAGGCCCUGCUUUUGUGGGGUGCUCGAGUGGCGAACGGGUGAGUAACACGUGAGUAACCUGCCCUUGACUUUGGGAUAACUUCAGGAAACUGGGGCUAAUACCGGAUAGGAGCUCCUGCUGCAUGGUGGGGGUUGGAAAGUUUCGGCGGUUGGGGAUGGACUCGCGGCUUAUCAGCUUGUUGGUGGGGUAGUGGCUGACCAAGGCUUUGACGGGUAGCCGGCCUGAGAGGGUGACCGGCGACAUUGGGACUGAGAUACGGCCCAGAAGCCUACGGGAGGCAGCAGUGGGGAAUAUUGCACAAUGGGCGGAAGCCUGAUGCAGCAACGCCGCGUGCGGGAUGACGGCCUUCGGGUUGUAAACCGCUUUCGCCUGUGACGAAGCGUGAGUGACGGUAAUGGGUAAAGAAGCACCGGCUAACUACGUG